CCAGACUCCUACGGGAGGCAGCAGUGAGGAAUAUUGGUCAAUGGGCGGGAGCCUGAACCAGCCAAGCCGCGUGAAGGAAGAAGGCGCCAGGCGUCGUAAACUUCUUUUGUCGGGGAACAAAGGGCGCCACGUGUGGCGUUGUGAGUGUACCCGAAGAAAAAGCAUCGGCUAACUCCGUGCCAGCAGCCGCGGUAAUACGGAGGGUGCGAGCGUUAAUCGGAAUUACUGGGCGUAAAGCGCACGUAGGCUGUAUGACAAGUCAAGGGUGAAAUGCCACGGCUCAACCGUGGAACUGCCUUUGAAACUGUCAAACUGGAGUAUGUGAGAGGGCGGCGGAAUUCCUGGUGUAGGAGUGAAAUCCGUAGAUAUCAGGAGGAACAUCAGUGGCGAAGGCGGCCGCCUGGCACAAAACUGACGCUGAGGUGCGAAAGCGUGGGUAGCAAACAGGAUUAGAUACCCUGGUA
rnacentral:rRNA from 1 species